AAGAGAUUGUCAGAAGAAAAAGAUUUUUCAAGAUGUAGUAAAAGAGAAAGUUAUAUCAGAAAGCAUGUGUGUUUAUUUUACCCAUCAUAUAGAUAAAAAUGUAUUUCUAAAUACCCUCAGAGAGAAAAGUCUAGCCUCUAUAUAGAAAAGAUUUUUUUUCUAUUUCCUUGCUACUCUGAGGUCUUUUAUUCAGAACCCUGGAAGAGUUCUGAAGCGCCGACCUCCCCCAGGCAGUGUUAAUUUCUCCUGAAUGAUCCAGAGAGGAUACAUAUGUCUGGGAAUGGAGAAUGCAGAAGAUACAUUUCAUGGGUUGGUAACAGAUGGCAUAUCCCCCCUUGAUACACAUAUGAAUUUCCAGUAUGGACAAUCACUUGUCUUUGUUAUUGCACACACAGAUCCUGGAACAUGAAUUGUGAAGAACUCAGUGUAGCCACCAAAUUCUAAGCAGUGUGCCCCAGAGAAAACGCUCCAGUUUUUCUCUUAUUUUAGCAUGAGGUAGUCCUGAAAGUUUCUGAUGUACUAAAAAUACAUUAUGCUGUGGUAGCCCAAAAAGGUUUCCUAGUGAGAUCUGAGCUUGCUUUAACCAGCAGGGCUGCAUAAGGGGAUGGAUUGACCACGUGCAUGUUUACCAGGUAUUUGGAAGGGUCUGCACUGAGUUGUGCUAGGGGGAGGUCUUUUGCUCCACCCCUUAGCAUUUCUAUAAAUAGCCCUUUAGAAGAGAGAGAGAAGGGGCUGGUGGAUAUUGAUCUAGGCCUUCCAGAACCAUCCUAUGUUUCUAUCUGUCUCUUUCCCCUUUAUCCUUCUAACUAAAUAUUUCUCACUUCUCCCUCCUCGAGAGUACCCUGGGUCCCUGACAGAUAGUGGUGCCACGAAUAGG